CCUGGGUUCUAGUGAUUCUCCUGUCUUGGCCUCUCAAGAGCAACCUGAGGAGGUGCUACCAUGUCUUCAAGAUGACUUGGGGAUAUUUUCUGGGAAGAAAAACCUCCUGUCCAUAUCUCUGACAACUGAGGAAGAGGCCUUGCCAGUUUCAUCCAGAUUUGGAUUUGGAAGAUGAAGGCUCUCAAAGUGAAUCAAAGGAUCCAUGACAGCUCCCCAGAGGGCACAGAGAAGUCUAACCAGGACCUUCUGAUUACCCAGUUAAUUCGUAAGGUACUGGGUGAGCCUGGAGAGGACACAUCCCAUGAGGUUGGCUGCAACACAGUGUGUGGUAACAAUGCACUUGCCUUAGACACCACAUGGUCCUCACUGCUAAGGGAUUUCUUGUACUUUAUAAUACUAAAUGAAGAUCAGGUUUUUUCCAACCUUGCAUAGCUACUCUAAUUCCCCUUUUACUUUUCCUAACCUUGAGAAGCUUCUAGCUCCAGGAAGAGAGAGAGUGUAUGUAUAUCUAUAUGUCUGUCUGUUUUGGUUUGGGGAAUGGAAUGGUCAGAGAAACCUGCCACAUUAGUGGGGACCUCUCUACCCACCAUAGAAAGGAAGUGAAAUAUCAAUGGUCAUGGAGAGACAAAGAGAAACACAUAUAAAUGGAACAGAUUAGUUUUAAAAAGUUCCUAUGUAUGGUGAGAGAUAACUAUCAAUUCUGAAGGACUGCCAAGCAGAUGUGAGAAUCUAGGCUGGAAGUCAGAACUGUAUACAGGCCUAAGUGGUAUAAUUUUCUCUAGCAGCUCUCAAGGGCACAAGUAUAGGCAUGAAGAAGGCAAUUAGAUCUGGAUUUAGAAUUUUUCCAUUGGAUGCAACUGAAGGGCAAGGAGUCAAUGGAAUGUUGCGGCUUUCCUACUUCUGCUGUUUGGUGAGCAGGAGGGAGUGGGGCUCAAUGGCUUCUUCACUUCUGUAGUUUGGCAAGUGGGAGGAAGUGCUACAGUCUUUUUACUCCUGCCACCAGCCACUCAGUGAGCUGGAGCACUAUAGUUCCUGUGCUCCUGCAGUUCGGUGAGUUCCCGGUUCUUGUCCCAUGAUCAAGAAGAAUAAGGCAGAUGGACACUGGAGAGUGAGUAAAGCAGAGUAGGAUUUGCUAAGCAACAGAAAAAGUUCUCAGCAGAGAGGGAAUCCAAAAGAUGGUUGCUGGCUGCAGGGCUAAGUUCAGGGUUUAUACGGACUGGGAAGGAAGGAGGAGUGUGCUGACUGGUCUGGGGGCUGUUUGGAAAAAACACCACUCAGAAAGAGACACGAUGAUGUAAAAAAACCAACUGAAGGCAGAAUUGAAGUCUCAGCUCACAACUGAUGGGGGGCUGGAGUGACGUUUCACUCUAUGCAAAUGAAGACUCAGCCCAUAGCCAAUCACAGAAAGAUAGGUAUAUGGUGAAAGGUAAGGACCAAUUGGAAAGAAGCAUGCCAAAUGGGAGUGGGAGUCCUCAUUCUGGUCUGUGGAUUCUAUCCAGAACUGGCAUCUCAGUUUUCAAGCCUUAGACUAUCCUCGGCUUCAAGGUUGAGUUUCACCAGAGACCCAUCCCUGCCUGCCGAGGAAUUCACCUGCCUUCCAUGGCUAUUAAGAGGAAAAUAUUGACAGUAAAACUUAAGUUUGUUUAGGAUCAGGGAAUGUAAGUGAUGUAGAAAGAAAAUAAAAAGGGAGAAAAUAGAGAAAACAGAGGCUGAAGGUUGUAGUGAGAUCAAAGAGCAGAUGUAGUAGGGGAAACCAGGUGGGACAUUUUGAAGAGUAAAUGGCUUUGAUAAGAGUGGGGUGUUUGAAUUUAUACUGUUAAAGGUGAUUAGGGUAAAAUAUACUAUUCUUUCCACUCUUCUUUGAAAAAUUUUAUAAUUAAAAAAUGAUAUAUCAGGUGGAGCACUUUCUGAUAUUGAACUGAAAUCUGCCACAUCCUUCAUUAGUGGGGACCUCUCUACCCACCAUAGAAAGGAAGUGAAGUAUCAAUGGGCAUGGGGAGACAGAGAAACACUUAUAAAUGGAAUAGAUUAGGUUUAAAAAGUUCCUGUGGAAAGUGAGAGAUAACUAUCAAUUCUCACUUUGGGUCUUGGUAAGAGCUAUGAAAAUGGGUGACUGAAGAGUGAAGCUGAAGGUCACUGGAGUUCUGUCUGUGAGAGUCUUAGAACAAGAAAAAAGCAGAUAUCCACUUAAGCUAAUUUAACCGAAAACAGGGUAGAGUGGGCUGAACUGUGUCCCCACAAAAGAUAUGUUGAAGUCCUAACCACCAAUACUUGUGUGAUUGUGACCCUAUUUGGAAACAGAAUCUUUGCAGAUGUAAUCAAGGUCAGAUGAGGUCAGCCUGGAUUAGGGUGGGCCAUAAAUUUACAACUCGUUUCUUUAUAAGAGAAGAAGAGAAAGGUGCUGAUAGAGAGACACAGGGGACACACAGGGAAGCAGGCCAUGUGAAGAACAGAUUUAGAAAUUGAAAUGAUAUAGCUACAAGCCAAAAAGAUGCCGAGAAUUACCUACAACCACCAGAAGCUAGAAGACAGGCACAGAACAUAUGUUCCCUCAGAGACUCCAGAAAGAAACAACCCUGGCCAGGCACAGUGGCUCACACUUGUAGUCCUAGCACUUUGGGGCACUUUAGGGGGCCAAGGAGGGAGGAUCACUUCAGGCCUGGAGUUUGAGACCAGUAUGGUGAAUACAUGAGCUGGUAACAUAGUCUUUUUUUUUUCUUUUUGAGACAGGAUCUUACUGUG